UACGUAGGGCGCAAGCGUUGUCCGGAAUUAUUGGGCGUAAAGAGCUCGUAGGCGGCCAGUUGCGUCUGCUGUGAAAUCCCGGGGCUCAACCCCGGGCUUGCAGUGGAUACGGGCUGGCUGGAGGCAGGCAGGGGAGAACGGAAUUCCCGGUGUAGCGGUGAAAUGCGCAGAUAUCGAGAGGAACACCGGUGGCGAAGGCGGUUCUCUGGGCCUGUACUGACGCUGAGGAGCGAAAGCGUGGGGAGCGAACAGG
rnacentral:rRNA from 1 species